GCAAUCCAUCGUGCCCAAACCGGUUAAAGCAUCGAAUCCUUGCCCGACCGGUCGCAUGCACACAAAUGUUGGGCACGACACAUUUGAAUCAACCUCCGGCACCUUCGGUUCUUCUUCUGCUGCUGGGCACACAGUUCAGACAUUUAAGAUCCAGCUAGAAGGAGGUCGCCAACGCACCGCUGACUAAGUCAGGUUCCCCUUUUCUUCCCUCUACUGUAGACACAAUUUUCCAGUCAAUAGAGGAAGUUCAAGCGCGAGACUCUUUCUUUGAGUGAGGCUUGUUUCCCAGCACGGCGUCCAUCUCUGUGACUGUUUGGGGAGUCAUCUGGGAUAAAAUCUGCAAAGGAGGAAAAAUGUCUACAUCUGUAAUUCCACAAUUUAUAAUGGAUGAGAAGAAGAAACUUUACCCGCAGUGCGCCCAGGUUCUCCAAUAGCUGGUCUGUGUUUGAAACACCCAGAAGCACUGAGCUGACUCCUUCACUGCGAAGACACCACGCUGAGGAGGAAUGUUAAUCAUGAAUCCACCAUUGUAUUUUUAAUUCCCUCAUAACAACAGAUUAGUGCUAAAAGUAUGAUAUGAAUAAAAUAUUUUUGCAGUGUUUAGGUGGUACCGAUGGCCAACUGUGCAGCCGUGCAUCCCAGCCUGUCUGCCAGUAGGUGGAGCUCCUUGAUUUUGGCCAGCUGCCUGCGCCCCUCUUCACUGUUCACCCGCUCCCUUAGCCACUGGUACCCCUUCAUCCGCAGCCAAUUGGAGAAGGAGGAGGACAAAAAAAAAAAAAGUCAGGUGAAAUGCUUCACUACUGAUUCCUCACACCCCAAAAAGAAAGAAAAAACACAUCACUGAUUGGGUGGGGAAUUACACUGAGCGGAAUCCCACAGGUGGACCGGUUAAAUCAAACUGACCUUCAUUGCUGCUCUGGAGCACUCUGGUACCCCAUCGCUGUACUUUCCAGUGAUUAAUCCACACGCCAGCGGUGACCAAGUCAUUGCUCCGACCCCUGAAAGAGACCAAUGAAGUUGGUCUUUGCCUCUUUAGCAAUUAAGCGGAGAUCAUUGAGAGGAAUAUAAAUAUUGGAUGAAUGGCUACCGAUCUUGUGGUAGAGCUCAGGCAACUGCACCUCCACUUUAUCUCUCUGGAAGUAGUGGUACUCUGCCUGCUCGCACACUGGCGGGAUCAAGUUGAACUGGCGGGCCACCGAGUAGGCCUCCUGACAUGGGAAACAUUAGAAAAAAAUGUACUUCCCCAUCUGCUUUCAAAGCUGGGCAAUUUUAAGCAAUAAUUGAAGGUCACCAUGAUUUCCAUGGCGCUCCAGCGUGAGGUGCCCCAGUACAUGGCCAUGCCCUGAUUUAUGACAAACGUCAUAGCCCGCACAAUCUCUGUGGAGAACAGUUUCAAAUGUCAAACGGAAAACCAGAUUACCAACCCAGAUCUUAAGCUUAUUUGAAUUUACCUUCCAUUGGACUGUUGACAUCAUUUCUGUUGGCAAAAACAAUGUCCACAUAAUCGAGUUGGAGUCUUGAUAAACUUCCUCUUAAACCUGCCAUGGAUAUGAAACAUAAAGGAUUAUUUUUGAUUUUCAGUUCCCAAUUUUGACUAAAUUCAAUUUUUUUCAAUUUUCAGCAAAAUAAAUAAUUUUCUAACUAAAA